UGUAUGUAUGUAUGUAAUCUCUGCACCCAGUGUGGGACUCAAACUCAUGACUUCAAGACCAAGAGUCAUAUGCUACUGACUGAGUCAUCCAGGCACCCCAAUGUAUGAUUUUUAAAAAACUGAUUUUAAUUGAAAUAACAUACAGAAUAGUACACAAAUCACAGAUAAGUUUUCUCAAAGUGAACACACUUGUUUACCACCCAGUGAAGAUAUAAAGCCUUAUCUAAAAGCAUGUAUAUUCUUUCCUAUGUUCUGUCUUGAUGGCCAGGGAAUUUAGGCCCAGCCUUACUUUUGGACUUAACUUUUUUUCCUCUGUGUGGGAUGUCCUUUCCCUUUUGAUGGGUUUUCGGAAAAUAGAAAGAAGAACUCCAGUUUUUCUUUAAACAAGAAGAGACUUUAGGACUUGAAAUUAAAACGAUGCAUGUUGCAAUAGAACUGUUACACGUCUAUAGAUAAAGACCAAACAGCAGCUGGGUAAACUAUCAAGGGAUCCCCUCACAGUCCACCUAUCAGGUUACACAGUUGAGGGGCUUGUUCUGAAGUAGAGCCUCAGAAGACAAAUCAGAGGCUGAGUCCCCAUUACUGAGAGGACAUAUGGACCCACAGUACUUGCUAUGAGAAAGUCUUCUGUCUCUGACAACUCUAACCAAUGCCGUGAUUCAGUUUAAUAGUUUUUGUUGAACUGGAAGACUGUCAAAAUGGCUUCCAGACAAUUGUCUGUCCAAGUACAUGAUACGUUAAUCUUUCAAGUCAAUGGGAAGCAUACUUAAGUAUAAAAUGGCCGCAUGUCAGAUGACAGGGAAAAUCCACGAUUAGCUAUUGCUACUGCAAUCCUGCAACUCACCUUGUCACAGUGAUUAGUCUAUGAAUGACACUUAAAUAAAGCCUAAACCAAUCAAUGCUUUUUUUUUCUUUCUUUUUUUUAGGACUAGUGAUUGACUCAAAGUGGAUGCGUGACUUAAAUUGUUCCAAUUGGAGUGAAGCACAGAAGCCGAGGCCUUCUUCAGGGAGCUAAAUACUUAUACCUGGCCCAAGAGUUGGAGACUUUGAAAGAGGAUCCAAGGGAAGUUAGAGCAGCUGCAAAGCCAGCAGGAGCAAUCCAGAGAAGAGUCAGAAUAUGUGUAAGAGGAGUCCUAUCUGGAGAAGAAGAAGAAGGUGGAGGAGGAGGAGAAGAAUGAGAAGGAGAAGGAGAAGAAGGGGGAGGAGGAGAAGGAGAAAGUCCUCUGACUCAGUGGAAACAAGGAAUCAGAUAUGCAUGUAUUUCAAGAUAAAAAUCUCAUGAGCAUGGGGUUGAGGAUAAAGUUGAAAGUAGAGUAGAUUUUCUGUCAUUGGAAAAGACAAUAUGGGUGUGAUCCCACCAGAAUAAAACAUGGUAAUGUGAUAGGGAAAGGAAAGACCUGCUCUCAGCUCUUUUGUCAAAUUCAAAGCAUAUAACUCACAUGCUCUGGGGAAGUUGAGAACAAGAGCAUCCAUUUUAAAGGCACAGAAUGGAAAGACAAAGGACGUGGCUGAACCUCGGUGGGCAAUGUUGCAUCCUCAAGGGAGAAAGAGGCUUCGCAGCUGAGCCACAGUAGAUACCAGUGCAAGAGAUCAGAAGCAAGUAUCAAACAUCCUGAAACAGUGAUGGGUAAAAAUACAGAAAACAAAGUUUGAACACAAGCACUCUCUCCCCCAUUGCCUUUAGGGCACAUAGCCUCUCCUACCACUAUCACUAUGAGUCUACUCUGUAAGUUAUGUAGAAUGAGAAGAAAAUCCACAAGGUACAAUAUUUAUUUGAAAUUCUUACCAAAGAAGUGGAAGUAUUAUUAAUUGUCAAGGCAAAGACUUUCCCUGCUACACACUGGAGUGGAGGCUCAUAAAAAAUAUUCAGUUAUAGAAAAAAAAAUGAUAAACUACAUUUUCCUUAUAGAAUGGUAAAUUUGCCAUAUUCUCACUGUACCACAAAAGAAGCCAGCCUGAAGACAAAGGGCAGAGCAAAGAGAAUCAGGGAAAAAUAGAACCAGAGCCUUGCCUCAUCAAACUUGCAAGAAACCUGCUGACCCCCUGCAUUAAUAAGCCAAAUGUGUUGUUUGGCUUCUUUUAUUGUUAAAUUCUGU